GUUGGGCACUCUAGAAAGACUGCCGGUGACAAACCGGAGGAAGGUGUGGACGACGUCAAGUCAUCAUGCCCCUUACGCCUUGGGCUACACACGUACUACAAUGCUGCGGACAAAGAGUAGCGAUCUUGCGAAAGUUAGCUAAUCUCGUAAACCGUGGCUCAGUUCAGAUCGUAGGCUGCAACUCGCCUACGUGAAGGAGGAAUCGCUAGUAAUCGCAGGUCAGCAUACUGCGGUGAAUACGUUCCCGGGCCUUGUACACACCGCCCGUCACACCAUGGAAGUUGGCCAUGCCCGAAGUCGUUACUCUAACCUUUUUGGAAGAGGGCGCCGAAGGCAGGGCUAAUGACUGGGGUGAAGUCGUAACAAGGUAGCCGUAGCGGAAGCUGCGGCUGGAUCACCUCCUAAC
rnacentral:rRNA from 1 species